GGCAAUGGAGUAUAACCCUCAUAUUUUCUUGAGUAUGAGACCGCUGAUUCAUCCUCUGAUACAACUCUGCAGUAACAUCUGAUCAGAAGGUGUUUAAAGCAGUGUGGAAAGUUUGAAAGAAUAAACAUGCAGAACGGAUGGUCGGAUAAAAACGGUGCGCUCUCAUUUUCUUAAUCGCAAGCGUUCUCGAGACCAAGAAUAAACAGAUUCUAAAGGAGGCCAAGGGUAUAGACGACGUCGUCAGCAUAAUGGGCGAUAUUGUUGGAAACUUGGAUGCCAAGAAAGCAUGUGAAAACGCAUUGAAGAUUCAAAACAAGUACAUGAAAAAGACCAAGAAUGAUAGUUGCAGAUCAUCUAAAAUAUCAAA